AACGCGAAGAACCUUACCCAGGCUCGAAAUGUAGGUGACGUAUCCAGAGAUGGAUACUUCCGCAAGGACACUUAUAUAGGUGCUGCAUGGCUGUCGUCAGCUCGUGCCGUGAGGUGUUUGGUUAAGUCCAGCAACGAGCGCAACCCUUAUCAUUAGUUGCCAACACGAAAGGUGGGAACUCUAAUGAGACUGCCUGGGUUAACCAGGAGGAAGGUGAGGAUGACGUCAAGUCCGCAUGGCCUUUAUGUCUGGGGCUACACACGUGCUACAAUGGUCGGUACAGAAGGUGGCAAUACCGCAAGGUGGAGCAAAUCCGAAAAGCCGAUCUCAGUUCAGAUUGUAGUCUGCAACUCGACUACAUGAAGUUGGAAUUGCUAGUAAUGACGUGUCAGCUACAACGUCGUGAAUACGUUCCCGGGCCUUGUACACACCGCGUGUCU
rnacentral:rRNA from 1 species